CCGCGCCCCCUCAGCACUCCAGCAGCGACACUUGCGAGCGCCUCGGCCGCCCCACACAGCCCGCGGCCCUCAGCGCCUUCUCCUCACCCGCCAGCUCCCCCCGCAUCCCCUUUGCUUUCCUCCGCCUCUGGGGGCCCUCCUCCGUGACCCCUGAAUGGCCCCCACUUCUCUCAGAUCCACACCUCGCACCUGUCAGUGCCCCGCCCUGUCCUGUCCAGUCCCAGCGGAUCGACCGCGCCCGCCCGGGGCCCCUCCCAACCCCAGCGCCGUCCUCCGCGCGGCUCCCACUUGCUGCCCCCCCUCGCCACCACCCUUGCCCCUCGGCUCCCUGGGUCGUCAGAGGUCCCCCGUCUCCUCCUCCCAAGCCCGCAGUUCCCUCCCCUCCCUUCCCUUCCUCCUCUGCUGCUGAGCGACUCUUCCUGCUCGCUUGCUUUCUCACGCAGGCCGUUAAGGACUCCUGAAGAGGCCAGAUCCAAAGAAGUCUGAGAGAAGACCAUGUGGAGAGAGGGCCAGCGAUCUGAGUCGGUCCAGCCAUUGCAGCUGAGCUGCCAGUUGUAGCCACAGGACUGAACCCAGGGUUUGUCUACCAUUGUCCCACUUGCAUGAAUAAAUUGCUUUCUGAAGGCAUGAAGACUUAGACAAGAAAAACAAGUGGAAAGAGGCUGGUCACAGAAAGCU